rnacentral:rRNA from 1 species
GAUGAACGCUGGCGGCGUGCCUAAUACAUGCAAGUCGAGCGAACAGACGAGGAGCUUGCUCCUCUGACGUUAGCGGCGGACGGGUGAGUAACACGUGGAUAACCUACCUAUAAGACUGGGAUAACUUCGGGAAACCGGAGCUAAUACCGGAUAAUAUAUUGAACCGCAUGGUUCAAUAGUGAAAGACGGUUUUGCUGUCACUUAUAGAUGGAUCCGCGCCGCAUUAGCUAGUUGGUAAGGUAACGGCUUACCAAGGCAACGAUGCGUAGCCGACCUGAGAGGGUGAUCGGCCACACGGGAACUGAGACACGGUCCAGACUCCUACGGGAGGCAGCAGUAGGGAAUCGUCCGCAAUGGGCGAAAGCCUGACGGAGCAACGCCGCGUGAAUGAUGAAGGUCUUCGGAUCGUAAAACUCUGUUAUUAGGGAAGAACAAAUGUGUAAGUAACUAUGCACGUCUUGACGGUACCUAAUCAGAAAGCCACGGCUAACUACGUG